UCGAUUUCUCUGGUUUCUUAGUUGCAGAGUUUGCAAGCAAAGUAGAGAAAAAUCACUGCAGAGAAGAGCACAAUCGAAGAGAAAUGGCGUUGGCCUUCGACGAGUUCGGAAGGCCGUUCAUUAUAUUAAAAGAGCAGGAGCAGAAGACUCGAUUGCGAGGUUUAGAUGCUCAAAAAGCUAACAUUUCCGCUGGAAGAGCCGUUGCUCGUAUCCUUCGUACCUCUCUCGGCCCCAAGGGCAUGGAUAAGAUGCUUCAGAGUCCCGACGGCGACAUCACCAUCACAAAUGAUGGUGCUACAAUCUUGGAACAGAUGGAUGUGGACAAUCA
rnacentral:misc_RNA from 1 species